UACGAGAGGCCCAAACGUUAUUCGGAAUUACUGGGCUUAAAGAGUCCGUAGGCGGCGCGGAAAGUGGGGUGUGAAAGCCCUCGGCUCAACCGAGGAAUUGCGCUCCAAACUACCGUGCUUGAGGAACCUAGAGGUGAGCAGAACUGAUGGUGGAGCGGUGAAAUGCGUUGAUAUCAUCAGGAAUACCGGAGGCGAAGGCGGCUCACUGGGGGUUUUCUGACGCUGAGGGACGAAAGCCAGGGUAGCGAACGGU
rnacentral:rRNA from 1 species